AUCUACCUAGUAGUAUGGAAUAGCCAUUAGAAAUGAUGGGUAAUACUGUAUAAUCCCUGCGGGGGAAAGAUUUAUCGCUAUUAGAUGAGCCUACGUUAGAUUAGCUAGUUGGUAAGGUAAUGGCUUACCAAGGCUAUGAUCUAUAGCUGGUCUGAGAGGACGAUCAGCCACACUGGAACUGAGAUACGGUCCAGACUCCUACGGGAGGCAGCAGUGGGGAAUAUUGGACAAUGGGCGAAAGCCGAUCCAGCU
rnacentral:rRNA from 1 species